rnacentral:rRNA from 1 species
UACGAAGGGCGCGAGCGUUGCUCGGAUUUAUUGGGCGUAAAGCGAGCGCAGGCGGAUAUUUAAGUCAGAAGUGAAAUCCCAGAGCUCAACCCUGGAACUGCCUUUGAUACUGGUUAUCUUGAGUGUGAUAGAGGUGAGUGGAAUUCCAUGUGUAGAGGUGAAAUUCGUAGAUAUAUGGAAGAACACCGGUGGCGAAGGCGGCUAUCUGGACCAUUACUGACGCUGAGGUUCGAAAGCGUGGGGAGCAAACAGG